UACUCAGCGCUUCUUCAUGAAUUUGUCUCAGAUGCUGUUCCAGCGGGAAGUUCCCGUACGUGAAGAACCUGAAAUUUCGAGAGAACAGCGUACUUCAUCUGAGGCCAGAGACUAGACAGACGUCAACACCGGCGGCGUGGGCUGCAGCGGGCCGAGUGCCGGCCCCCAGGCCCAGUGCCUCACACGCGCUGCUGCUUCCCCCAAACGCCAGAGAGGCUUUUGCUCUUCUUGUGAGAUGUGCUUUAAACAAACACAAACUGCACAAAAGGGGGUCAAUGAAAGGAGUGUUUGCUGUAUCUACAAAUAUAACCAUCAGCAUUCCAUGAACGAUAUCUGAAACAAGCUAUGCAUCAAAAGCAGGACAACGUCAACGCCACACAGAAAUGAGAACACUCACAAACGCGCCCUUCAUCUCGUUGAAGACGACUCCUUUGAAGACCAAGGGCGUCUGCGGGUCGUUGGGGUCCUCGUGCUCCAGCCGCCAUCCUUCCUGCCUGGAGAGCGACAGUGACCACGAGCCGACAGUGACCUCUGCUCAGGUCCAGAUCGCCCCCCGAUCACUACGUACCAGAAA